UACUGAAACACAGGUUCCUGUACAAUCACUGAAGUUAAGCAACAUCUAGCCUGGGCAGAUCCUAGAUGGGUGACCACUUGGGAAUAUCUGGUGCUGUAAUC